rnacentral:rRNA from 1 species
CAGUAGCCGCGGUAAUACGAGGGGGGCGAGCGUUGUUCGGAAUUAUUGGGCGUAAAGGGUGCGUAGGCGGUUCGGUAAGUCUUAUGUGAAAUCUUCGGGCUCAACCCGAAGUCUGCAUGAGAAACUGCCGGGCUUGAGUGUGGGAGAGGUGAGUGGAAUUUCCGGUGUAGCGGUGAAAUGCGUAGAUAUCGGAAGGAACACCUGUGGCGAAAGCGGCUCACUGGACCACAACUGACGCUGAUGCACGAAAGCUAGGGGAGCAAACAGGAUUAGAGACCCCUGUAGUCCCUGUCUCUUAUAC